rnacentral:rRNA from 1 species
UACGUAGGGUGCAGGCGUUACUCGGAAUUACUGGGCGUAAAGCGUGCGCAGGCGGUUUGCUAAGACAGGUGUGAAAUCCCCGGGCUUAACCUGGGAACUGCGCUUGUAACUGGCAAGCUAGAGUGUGGCAGAGGGGGGUGGAAUUCCAAGUGUAGCAGUGAAAUGCGUAGAUAUUUGGAGGAACACCGAUGGCGAAGGCAGCCCCCUGGGCUAACACUGACGCUCAUGCACGAAAGCGUGGGGAGCAAACAGG